GUCUCCUGCCCUCCCAAACGCGUCAAUGACCACAUUAUAGGUGACUAUGGUCCAUGAAUAAUGAUACUUCUGCAUGUAUUCCAUCACAGCACUCAUCUUCUUGUAGUUUCCUGAUUUCCCAUAGGAAUCAAGGAGGAUAUUGAAGGUUCUGAUGUUGGGUUCAAUCCCAGAGCUCUGAAACUUCUCAUAACAAUUCUCCAUCAUUUCUAUUUGUCCAUUUCCCCCAAAGGCUCUAAGAGUUGAGUUCAUGGUCCACGAAUCAGGCUUGCAAUCAUCCUCUCCAAGCAUUUGGAUAAGUGUUGAUUCCAUCUCCACGAAC